AGAAUCAACGCUGGCGGCGUGCCUCAGACAUGCAAGUCGAACGCGAAAGGCUCCUUCGGGGGCCGAGUAGAGUGGCGCACGGGUGAGUAACACGUAGGUAAUUUGCCUUUGGGUGGGGAAUAACUCAGGGAAACUUGAGCUAAUACCGCAUAAUGCAGCGGCUCGACAUCGAGACAGUUGUUAAAGCGGGGGAUCGCAAGACCUCGCGCCUGAAGAGAAGCCUGCGGCAGAUUAGCUAGUUGGUAGGGUAAUGGCCUACCAAGGCGACGAUCUGUAACCGGCCUGAGAGGGCGGUCGGUCACACUGACACUGACAUACGGGUCAGACUCCUAGGGAGGCAGCAGUCGGGAAUUUGGGCAAUGGGCGAAAGCCUGACCCAGCAACGCCGCGUGAAGGAUGAAAUUUUUCGGAAUGUAAAACUUCGCAAAGAACGGAAAGAAAUAAAGUAAGAAAGAAUAAAUAACCUUCUAUGAUGACGUACCGUUUGUAAAGCUCGGACUAACUCCGUGCAGCAGCCCG
rnacentral:rRNA from 1 species